UUAAAUUAAUUUGUUAUUAAUUAAAUUAAAUCGAAUGAAUACUAAAGAUUUUGAUUAGUGGGGAAAGUUUAAUUCAAGACGAUCAACAUAAAUCAAGAAGAACAAUUUUGUGAAGAGAAAAAUGGAAUUUGCGAGAGUGUUUCUCGUAGAAAAAUAGCAGAAUGGCCACGGUAUUACGACGUAACUUCUCGCCAACGGUAUAAACUCCAGCAGAGCCAUUGUCUGUCGCCCGAAGCAACCGUUCAACGAAAAGCGAGCUUCAUUGUCAUGAUUCCGUAACCUAUGAAUGGUAGAAACGAUCGAAUUUCCAGAUUUGAUAAGAAUAUAA